CAGAGCUGUGGAGUGUGACAAUGGUGUUUGUGUCUAAACUAUCAAACGCCAUUAUCACACUAAAUAGCUACUGC
rnacentral:pre_miRNA from 10 species